GAUGAACGCUGGCGGUAUGCUUAACACAUGCAAGUCGAACGGUACCUUCGGGUAUAGUGGCGGACGGGUGAGUAACGCGUGAGAAUCUAUCUUCAGGUCGGGGACAACAGUUAGAAAUGACUGCUAAUACUGGAUGUGCCGAAAGGUAAAAGAUUUAUUGCCUGAAAAAGAGCUCGCGUCAGAUUAGCUAGUAGGUGGUGUAAGAGACUACCUAGGCUUCGAUCUGUAGCUGGUCUGAGAGGACGAUCAGCCACACUGGAACUGAGACACGGUCCAGACUCCUACGGGAGGCAGCAGUGGGGAAUUUUCCGCAAUGGGCGAAAGCCUGACGGAGCAAUACCGCGUGAGGGACGAAGGCUCUUGGGUCGUAAACCUCUUUUCUCAAGGAAGAUUCAGACGGUACUUGAGGAAUAAGCAUCGGCUAACUCUGUG
rnacentral:rRNA from 1 species